rnacentral:rRNA from 1 species
AGGACGAACGCUGGCGGCGUGCUUAACACAUGCAAGUCGAGCGGAAAGGCCCUUCGGGGUACUCGAGCGGCGAACGGGUGAGUAACACGUGAGUAAUCUGCCCUUAGCUCUGGGAUAGCUCCGGGAAACCGGGAUUAAUACCAGAUACGACCACUUUAGACAUCUGCCGUGGUGGAAAGAAUUUCGGCUAAGGAUGAGCUCGCGGCCUAUCAGCUUGUUGGUGGGGUAACGGCCUACCAAGGCGACGACGGGUAGCCGGCCUGAGAGGGCGACCGGGCCACGACCUGGGACUGAGACACGGCCCAGACUCCUACGGGAGGCAGCAGUGGGGAAUAUUGCGCAAUGGGCGAAAGCCUGACGCAGCGACGCCGCGUGGGGGAUGAAGGUCUUCGGAUCGUAAAGCACUGUCGCGAGGGACGAGAAGCCCAGGGUGAACAAUCCUGGGAUAGGACGGUACCUCGAGAGGAAGCACCGGCUAACGUCUGUGCCAGCAGCCGCGGUAA